AGGAAGGUAGUGUAGUUAAUACCUGCAUUAUUUGACGUUACCUACAGAAGAAAGCACCGGCUAACUCCGUGCCAGCAGCCGCGGUAAUACGGAGGGUGCGAGCGUUAAUCGGAAUUACUGGGCGUAAAGCGCAUGCAGGCGGCCUGUUAAGUCAGAUGUGAAAGACCCGGGGCGUUAACCUCGGAAUUGCAUUUGAAACUAGGCAGGCUAGAGUCUUGUAGAGGGGGUAGGAAUUUCAGGUGUAGCGGUAAAAUAGCGUAGAGAUCUGAAGGAAUACCAGUGGCGAAGGCGGCCCCCUGGACAAAGACUGACGCUCAGAUGCGAAAGCGUGGGGAGCAAACAGGAUUAGAUACCCUGGUAG
rnacentral:rRNA from 1 species